rnacentral:misc_RNA from 1 species
GAAAUGCGAUAAGUAGUGUGAAUUGCAGAAUUCAGUGAAUCAUCGAAUCUUUGAACGCACAUUGCGCCCCUUGGUAUUCCAUGGGGCAUGCCUGUUCGAGCGUCAUUUGUACCCUCAAGCUUUGCUUGGUGUUGGGUGUUUGUCUUUUCCACGCGAUUAGACUCGCCUUAAAAUAAUUGGCAGCCAGUGUUUUGGUUUUGAAGCGCAGCACAAGUCGCGAUUCAGCUUAUAUCACUAGUUUCCAUUAAGCAUCUUAUCACUUUUGACCUCGGAUCAGGUAGGGAUACCCGCUGAACUUAA